rnacentral:rRNA from 1 species
CGGGUGCACUGAUCCAGCCGGGCCUUUCCCUCUGUGGAACCCCAUGGCCUUCACUGGCUGUGGUGGGGAAACAGGACUUUUACUUUGAAAAAAUUAGAGUGCUCCAGGCAGGCCUAUGCUCGAAUACAUUAGCAUGGAAUAAUAGAAUAGGACGUGUGGUUCUAUUUUGUUGGUUUCUAGGACCGCCGUAAUGAUUAAUAGGGACAGUCGGGGGCAUCAGUAUUCAAUUGUCAGAGGUGAAAUUCUUGGAUCUAUUGAAGACUAACUACUGCGAAAGCAUUUGCCAAGGAUGUUUUCAUUGAUAAGGAACGAAAGUUAGGGGAUCGAAGACGAUCAGAUACCGUCGUAGUCUUAACUAUAAACUAUGCCGACUAGGGAUCGGACGAUGUUAUUCUUUGACGCGUUCGGCACCUUUCGAGAAAUCAAAGUGCUUGGGCUCCAGGGGGAGUAUGGUCGCAAGGCUGAAACUUAAAGAAAUUGACGGAAGGGCACCACCAGGGGUGGAACCUGCGGCUUAAUUUGACUCAACACGGGGAAACUCACCAGGUCCAGGCACAGUGAGGAUUGACAGAUUGAGAGCUCUUUCUUGAUUCUGUGGGUGGUGGUGCAUGGCCGUUCUUAGUUGGUGGAGUGAUUUGUCUGCUUAAUUGCGAUAACGAACGAGACCUUAACCUGCUAAAUAGCCCGUACUGCUUUGGCAGUUCGCCGGCUUCUUAGAGGGACUAUCGG